UCCAGUAGGAUUCUGAGCAAGAGCAACAGUGGCCGCUUCCACUUCGCUCGCUACAAAGUAGCUGACUCGCAGCUCGGACCGCGCGGUCAGUGAUGUGCCUCUACUAAAAAUCGAUUCUAAUUGCCUAAACCGAUUGAUGAAGCAAUUAUGAAAUAUUGAUGUGAGCCCCUCCCUAGUGUUAGUGAAAGUUAUAACGAAGUGUGAAGUGGAAUAACAAGUUGAUCAUGACGGAAUUCUAUGGUUCGUGGAGCGACGGCCGCCCAGGCGACGACGAUGUCGAAGGGGUCGAAGUGGAGGAGACUAUGGUCGAAACAAUCACGACCACGACGACGACCAGGAAGACGGUUCCGUCGAAAUCGUCGUCGACGAAAACUACCACAAUGACCACUCCGGCAAAGCUGUAUGGACGAGAAUUGUCAGCCUAUGACGAAGUGGAUGUGGACGAAUUACUGGCGAAAUUGUCACAGGAAGAACUCACCAUGCUCGCCAAGGAAGUAGACCCUGAUGACAAUUUUCUCCCUCCCUCACAGAGGAAUAACUACGCGUGUGAAAAGGACCCGACAGGCCCCUUGAACCGUAAGAAAUUGAUAGAGCACAUCAACAAACAGGCACUAGAGACACCAGACCGGCCUGAAGUGAAACCAUAUGUGCCCGGAGUCAUACGUGGCAAGAAGUGGAUUCCGCCACCGCCUCCAGAAAAGGUGCGUGAUGCUGAAGAGCAAAUCACCAUCGACCUUGGAGAUGAAUAUGAACAGGCUCUCACAUCUGCCUCGCAGGAAGAGAUCAUUGAUUUGGCUGCUAUCCUCGGUUUCCAUUCUAUGAUGAACCAGGAUCAGUAUCACGCUUCUUUACUGAACAAAGGUCAGCCUGUUGGACUCGGCUGGGACGGAAUCACCAAAGCCACAAAGCCCAAGGUGUACCCAAUGGACCCUCCCAAUGACACUGACCCCGAGGAGACCAUCAAGAGGGUACAGGAGAACGACCCCAAGCUCACAGAUCUCAAUUGGAAUAAUAUUAAGAACAUAAGCGACGAGAAGUUCGAGAAGCUUUUCGAAGGUUUGAAGAGUAACACUCACUUGGAGGUGCUUUGCCUCGUGAAUGUUGGGCUGACGGACCGCACGGCGCAGCUGCUGGCUGACGCUCUGCGAGCCAACAGCACUCUCAGGGUCGUCAAUGUCGAGACCAACUUCAUCAGCCCGCCCGGUGUCGUGCAGCUCGUUGCCGCACUCCUCACCACCACCAGCGUCGAGGAGUUCCGCGCCUCCAACCAGCGAUCGCAAGUAUUAGGGAACAAGAUAGAGAUGGAGAUCACAUCCCUGGUGGAGCAGAAUCCAACGUUGCUGCGGCUCGGGUUGCAUCUCGAGUACAGUGACGCACGUCAUCGCGUCGCCAGCCAUUUGCAGCGGAACAUAGACAGAAAUUGCCGAAUGCAAAAGCGGCCUAGAGCAUCGCUUAGCUUGCGGCUGCCGCGAAGCCGGCCGUCGGGCGUGGGCGUGGACGCCGACCUCCUCGUGACGCCGCCCAGCGUUGAAGAAAAAACGCCCACCAGAGAGCCGGCUAAGACUGUGAUCACUGAAAACGUCCACGGCUCGAUCGUGGUCGAAGCGAAAAGUCCGGACACAGAUAUCGGCUCGGGCUUACAGGAAGAUAGAUUCCCGUCCGCCGAGCUUAGCAAUAACCCCGACCCCGCCAGAGAGGCGAGCUUAGGACGAAAUAAUUUGUAGAAACGGCCAAAAUAAUGGUACGCCAGCAACGCCGGAGCCAGAACAGCGCUUAGAGUCCUGAACUACACGUGUGGCGGCCGUAUUCGCCGCUUGAGUCAGUUCACCCGCAGCCCGAGCUGGGUGGUGGGCUGGAU